GCGGGCAGCUUCGCAACCCAGCGCUCAACCGCUGCGCCACCGGGGAGGCCCGAAAAGAUAUCUUUUCUAACCUGUAUCAGAGCAUAGACCAUCACCCAGAGACUGGAACCUCAAGAUUGAUGCAACAACUGAGCAAGACUCUGUGAAUAUCUCCCUUGGUGAAGAGGGUGCUUUCCUCUAGUACAUAGUAACAGGCACAAAGCUUGAGCUGCUGAAGCACUUGUCUAACCAGGUAUGGCCUGGGGACCCGAAUCUUGCUGCAUUGUCAGUCCACAAGUACCAAGGCUUGCUGAAGAUCUCCCAUGUGUCUGCAAGAACCCACUCCUAUAUUCAUUUGUUUCCAGAGGUAACUAUGCCUGUUUCUCCAUGGGAAUACCAGUACCUCCUGACUCAAAACCUGUCAUCUUAUCAGUACCACAGAUCCUCUCCAUCAGACUUUCACCACAUGUUAACUUCUGGGGAGAGCUGGCAAAGUUCACUGACAACAUCCUUCCUCUUUACAUCGCUGCUAAUGUCCCAUCUUCCACUGAAAUCGUUGUAGCCAAGUUCACCCACUACCUCAUUCUCUCUCUGUGAGUGGAACACUUAAACAUCUCAGAGGAUCGUCCAGCCUGCUCUCCUCUGCUGUGUUAAAGACUCCAGAUGGCACAGCUACAAGAGAGACAAAGACCCACAACCACCUUGAACUUGAUAAGAAGAGCAACUGAAGGACUCCCCCACCGCACCCCAAUGAAUGAACGUUUGAAAGAAGGUGACAAUUUCAGUGGAGGAUAAAACACUGUCUUAUCUUGUCAGUAGUGACUUUUUGCUUUGAAAUGGCAAACUAGUUUCAAGACACAUCAAGAAUUGUAGUCAACUAGCUCCUGAUGUCUCUUUGCAACUGACUGGGUGGAACACAGCAGGAUACCUGUAGAGACACAUCUACAAAUGGACAUGUGAGUGGAAAAUAAAAACAUAGGCACUGC